rnacentral:rRNA from 1 species
UUGCCUCAGUAACGGCGAGUGAAGCGGCAAAAGCUCAAAUUUGAAAUCUAGCACCUUCGGUGUUCGAGUUGUAAUUUGAAGAUGGUAACCUUGGGUUUGGCUCUUGUCUAUGUUCCUUGGAACAGGACGUCAUAGAGGGUGAGAAUCCCGUCUGAUGAGAUGCCCAUUCCUAUGUAAGGUGCUAUCGAAGAGUCGAGUUGUUUGGGAAUGCAGCUCUAAGUGGGUGGUAAAUUCCAUCUAAAGCUAAAUAUUGGCGAGAGACCGAUAGCGAACAAGUACAGUGAUGGAAAGAUGAAAAGAACUUUGAAAAGAGAGUGAAAAAGUACGUGAAAUUGUUGAAAGGGAAGGGCAUUAGAUCAGACUUGGUGUUUUACGAUUAUCUUCUCUUCUUGAGUUGUGCACUCGUAUUUCACUGGGCCAGCAUCGAUUCGGAUGGUAAGAUAAUGACAGUUGAACGUGGCUCCA